rnacentral:rRNA from 1 species
UGGGGAAUAUUGCACAAUGGGCGGAAGCCUGAUGCAGCGACGCCGCGUGGGGGAUGAAGGCCUUCGGGUUGUAAACUCCUUUCGACAGGGACGAAGCUUUUGUGACGUUACCUGUAUAAGAAGCACCGGCUAACUACGUGCCAGCAGCCGCGGUAAUACGUAGGGUGCGAGCGUUGUCCGGAAUUACUGGGCGUAAAGAGCUCGUAGGUGGUUUGUCGCGUCGUCUGUGAAAUUCCGGGGCUUAACUCCGGGCGUGCAGGCGAUACGGGCUGACUUGAGUGCUGUAGGGGAGACUGGAAUUCCUGGUGUAGCGGUGAAAUGCGCAGAUAUCAGGAGGAACACCGAUGGCGAAGGCAGGUCUCUGGGCAGUAACUGACGCUGAGGAGCGAAAGCAUGGGUAGCGAACAGG